rnacentral:rRNA from 1 species
AGUGAACGCUGGCGGUAGGCCUAACACAUGCAAGUCGAACGGCAGCACAGUAAGAGCUUGCUCUUACGGGUGGCGAGUGGCGGACGGGUGAGGAAUACAUCGGAAUCUACUUUUUCGUGGGGGAUAACGUAGGGAAACUUACGCUAAUACCGCAUACGACCUACGGGUGAAAGCAGUGGAUCUUCGGACCUUGCGCGAUUGAAUGAGCCGAUGUCGGAUUAGCUAGUUGGCGGGGUAAAGGCCCACCAAGGCGACGAUCCGUAGCUGGUCUGAGAGGAUGAUAGGCCGCACUGGAGCGGGGACACGGUCCAGAGUCCUACGGGAGGGAGCAGUGGGGAAUAUUGGACAAAGGGCGCAAGCCUGAUCCAGCCAGACCGCGUGGGUGAAGGAGGCCUUCGGGUUGUAAAGCCCUUCUGUUGGGAAAGAACAGCAGCAGGUUAAUACCCCGCUGUUCUGACGGUACCCAAAGAAUAAGCACCGGCUAACUUCGUG